UCCCCGCCAAGGAAGCAGAGUAUCCUCGAAUCCCCGGCGGCCCCAGAUACACCAACGGGGCUCGAAGCCCAAGCCGCAUCCACUCCAGGAGAACCUCAAACCGCAGAAUACUCUGACUUAUUGGAAGUCGUCCCAAAGCGACUAAUCGAAGGAGGGACCAAAAAGUACAGAAUUUCAUGCAAUAACGGGAGAAAAAUUGUAAUAAAGAUACCACGAGGGAUAGAUGGAAUCAAACGACUAUAGACGCCAAAAAAAAAGGUAUGUUACUUCUUUUUUUUUUUUUUCGAAGAAGAGGGGGUGUAAUGAUAGGCUGACGCUCCGACCAAACAUCGACACUCGGAACCCCGAGUGCGAUUCUCUCAAAUCGCGUAGGUGCCCCCACUAAGUUCCACCUCUCCGAACCAACGCCGCCAGAGGGAUAUUUAAGAGCAUCGCAAGCGACGAUCCGGCAGUCCUGAAUGACCGUUCUGGGCUCCAUAACCAGCCAAGCGAAGUGAGCGAUGCCGGCCAACCUGAAUCGCGACGUGCACCGUUCGUGAGGUGAUUCGUAAACUCAGGCAGGCCAACUCGAGACGAGACGCACGGUGUACCGAAGUGAGACGCCCAUCCGGAGGAGGACUUCGCUGGGACGAGAUAAAAUAUCAAAUUAUUAUUUUGCGUUAUAUUGUUAUAAUUUGGAGUUAAUAGAUUUGCUUUGUUUUCAA